UAUCGCUGAACUUUAGUGGCGAUUGUUGUGACGAAAAUAUGCGUGUUUUUUUUUUAAGAUUUACUUUUAUGAGAUCACCUGCAGGAAGCAGGUGAGGAGAUCAGCUGUGAUUCGGUCCGGUGUAACACCGGCGUCAGCGAGCGGCUCAUGACCAGACCAGUCGUUUUUUUCUCCAUGAUCGCCGGGGCAGCAGCAGUUUUAACCCGCCGAGGCUUUUAGAACAUUAUAAAGCAGUUUCAGCUCAAAAUGGACCCACUACCAGUUUGUGAGCUGAUAUGCAGUGGAAAUUAACAUCCAGAAUGAAGUCAUAGAGGAAACACCAGCUGAUGCAAGUGCUGCAGAAGAAUUCAAUCGAAUAUCAGGAAGAAAUGUG